GGAUGGCUGUGCUAGCCCGCUGGCUUUCGGGUCGGUGAGCGCCGGUACGAGUCAUUCAUCUUUGUAGGGAGCCUGGUCUGCCCUUUCCUGGGUGGGCUUGCGCGAACUACAUCAUUUACUUUGAAAAAAUUAGAGUGUUUAAAGCAGGCUUACGCUAUGAAUACAUUAGCAUGGAAUAAUAAUAUAGGACUUCGGUUCUAUUUUGUUGGUUUCAGGGACUGAAGUA
rnacentral:rRNA from 1 species